UACGGGGGGGGCAAGCGUUGUUCGGAAUUACUGGGCGUAAAGGGCUCGUAGGCGGCCAACUAAGUCAGACGUGAAAUCCCUCGGCUUAACCGGGGAACUGCAUCUGAUACUGGAUGGCUUGAGUUCGGGAGAGGGAUGCGGAAUUCCAGGUGUAGCGGUGGAAUGCGCAGAUAUCAGGAGGAACACCGGUGGCGAAGGCGGGUCUCUGGGCAGUAACUGACGCUGAGGAGCGAAAGCGUGGGGAGCGAACAGG
rnacentral:rRNA from 1 species